UACGUAGGGUGCGAGCGUUGCCCGGAUUUAUUGGGCGUAAAGAGCGUGUAGGCGCCAGGUAGGUCCGUUGUGAAAACUCGAGGCUUAACCUCGAGAUGUCAUCGGAAACCAUCUGGCUAGAGUCCGGAAGAGGAGAGUGGAAUUCCUGGUGUAGCGGUGAAAUGCGCAGAUAUCAGGAAGAACACCAAUGGCGAAGGCGGCUAUCUGGACGGUUUCUGACACUAAGACUCGAAAGCGUGGGGAGCAAACAGG
rnacentral:rRNA from 1 species